rnacentral:rRNA from 1 species
GAUGAACGCUGGCGGCGUGCUUAACACAUGCAAGUCGAACGAUGAAGCCCAGCUUGCUGGGUGGAUUAGUGGCGAACGGGUGAGUAACACGUGAGUAACCUGCCCUUGACUCUGUGAUAAGCCUGGGAAACUGGGUCUAAUACUGGAUAUGACUUCUCAUCGCAUGGUGGGGGGUGGAAAGAUUUAUUGGUCUUGGAUGGACUCGCGGCCUAUCAGCUUGUUGGUGAGGGAAUGGCUCACCAAGGCGACGACGGGUAGCCGGCCUGAGAGGGUGACCGGCCACACUGGGACUGAGACACGGCCCAGACUCCUACGGGAGGCAGCAGUGGGGAAUAUUGCACAAUGGGCGCAAGCCUGAUGCAGCGACGCCGCGUGAGGGAUGACGGCCUUCGGGUUGUAAACCUCUUUCAGUAGGGAAGAAGCGAGAGUGACGGUACCUGAAGAAGAAGCGCCGGCUAACUACGUG